GUUAAUAAAGGAGUUUUACAGAAAUGGAGUCUAUGAAAAUGAAGUCCUCACAAUGAGAGUCAAAGACGUGGAAAUCAAGCUAAAGGCUGAGAACAUCAACCUAGCCCUAGGUUUCAAAUCCGAAGGUUUUUGGUUCUUAGAUGGCAUCGAUUUCCAUGUAGGACUUAAGAAGAUGCAUCACAAGAAAUCCCCCACUGUCAGAGGAUAUAAGAAGAAGGAGUUUCCUCAGAG
rnacentral:lncRNA from 1 species